rnacentral:tRNA from 1 species
GCAUGGCUUAGUGGUACAACAUUUGCUUGUUGUGGAGAAGGUCUCAGGUUCAAGUCCUGCCAUCUCCA